rfam:Ictidomys tridecemlineatus contig037844, whole genome shotgun sequence.
AGGGAUGUAGUUCAGUGGUAGAACAUUUGCCUCGCAUAUACAAGGUCCUGGGUUUGAUCCCCAGAGUUACCA